CUUAAGGCUGUUGCAUUACAUGAGUAGGAAUUGCUGGUAUUGAUUUCCUGUUGUUUCUUGUUGUUGUUUUUUUCCAGGUCAAGCAAAUAAAGUGGCUAAGGAAGCAGCCAACAGAUGGACUGAUAAUAUCUUUGCAGCAAAAUCUUGGGCCAAACGGAAGUUUGCAUUUGAAGAGAGCAAAAUUGACAAAACAUUUGGCAUUCCUGAAGACUUUGACUACAUCAAUUAGAAAGGUUUAGUAAGAAUGGCAAGUAAUUUAAUAUUGUUCAAGAGAUUUUGUUUUCAUUCCGAAGUUUCUUUUUCUUUUACCAUUAUUUGUAUUUUGGUUAAUAAAAUCUGAAAAUACAUUGAAAAUAUAUUUUUGCUUUCACGCUGUGACCCAGUAAUUUUAUCUCAUAGAAUCAUAGAAUUGCAGACUUGGAAGGGACCCCAAGGGUCAACUAGUCCAACCUCCUGCAAUGCAAAAUGGGAGCUAAUUAUAAUCAAGUCUAUUAUUAAGGUAGAUGCUAUAAUGUCCAUUUUGCUAGCUGCAUUAUGUCAGAAAGUGUUGCGGCCUAGGCCAAAAACGUAGGUGAGAGAGAGAAACUGGAAACCGUGUUUUAUGCUGGAAAAUAAAUAAGGCAGUGAAAUAAAUUACAUCUGUAAUUAAAAGUUUUGGGGGAAGAUAUGAAUGGACAGCUAUAUUCAUUUCAUGCAGUGCACUAGAUAUGCACAAAGAAUAGGCAAUGCAGUUAAUCUCUUGAUGGUUUAGUCAGAUUUCCUAAGCUAUGGUCUAGGAUCACUGAGCAAUUUUGAAAAACCAGGUAGACCCAAAUAAAAGGCAUAAUGAGGCUGUACAUGAUCCUGAAGAUAUUGUUAAAAUUUGGGGUGGGGGAACCAGACCCCCUAUAAUCUCUACAUUCAGUGAAGGGUUAGAAUUUGAGCAAACUCAUAAAUUCAUUAAUUCAGCUGUGUUGUUGUAGAAACGAAAGGCUUAAAAAGGCCUUUGAUAAUGGUAAGUCAUCAGGAAAACAUCAGACUCUGCCCUUUUUGUUAAGGGCUUGAGAAAGAGCUUGCCAGGGUGACUGGGUGGGGGACAGUGCUGGAAGCAGAAGGGGAGUUGUUGUUUCCUCCCAAGUGCUGCUGGGAAGAAGAAGGAGGAAGUGGGGAGAAAUCCAUGGAGACUGAAGGGCAUGAGCCAUGCUGGUUGGCUGAAGCAAGCUGUUACAGAGAGACAUGGGGGUGGCGCUUAGGAUGCCUCUGAAUCCAAGACUGCACAGCUGGGAAGGACAAGCCUCUUUAGAUGUGGAUGCUGUGAACUCUCUCUCCAUAAACUUCAGGUGUAUAUAUGUGCGAAUAAACCACACUUCCUAAAGACACUGCAGAAACUGCUGUGCCUCAUUUCCCCAAAGGAAACCCAAACCCUGAUUGAGUGCUAAGACCACUUGGCAGAGAUUCGGGUGGUUUUCCUGGGAUAAGCAGAAGAGGCAGUAGAUUAGUAAAAUGCAGCAAUCACAAUUCGCUGACAGUAGUGCGAAAUAACACAAGUGCUGGAAAUUAUCCUCACACCCACCAUGACUGCAGUUUCAGUCAUUGUAAUAUUGUGUUACUCGUUGAUGGCCUUUCUACAAGACUUGAAACAAACAGUUGCUACACAGCUGUGGCAUCUUCCUCAAGUUCCUGCUUCUCAUUCGUUCAUUCAUUCACAAUCCCACGGCAAACAGCACCACCUGCACUGAAGUCACCUGGCAGCUGCCUUUACCUGCACCUCAUCUGGAUCAGCCCCCCUGCAUUUCUACCAUUGAUGCUACUUUGCUGCCAAAGCUGGCUGGGUUUCACAUGCUAGAUCUGUGGAAAGUGGUUCUGGUUGGACGUGUGCAUACACAGCUCCCAGGCAUCCGCCUGUGGACAGAGUGCUGAUGUGUACGCACAUUUCCCAAUAUUGUCCCCUCUUUGCAGCCCUAGGAUAUGAACCCAGUGGACUUUAUGGUGGCAACAACAACAGGGCAAAAUGGAGAAUGGCCUGAAUGAAUGGGGAAGUCUGCCACCGCAAGGCAAUCAGCCAUCAGGGAUCUCUCUUGUUAAAAAAAAUUACAGUAUUUUUUCUUAAUGCACCUAUCUUUGCAUGCCUCGAAAUGCAACGUUUUAGCUAUUAUUGAGAAAAUGGCAUCUAAUCCUGAAAACCCUCAACAAGCCUCAUCUCUCCCAUUGACCAUCUGCUGUGGCCUUGGACCAGUCAAAUGUCUUUCAGUUUUAAUCACCCAACUGUAACUUAUCUGGCUCUGUUAUUGUGAAAAAUAAACAAUUCAGAUUCUUGA